GGUUAAGUUAGAAAGGGCGCACGGUGGAUGCCUUGGCACUAGGAGCCGAAGAAGGACGGGACUAACACCGAUAUGCUUUGGGGAGCUGUACGUAAGCGUUGAUCCAGAGAUUUCCGAAUGGGGGAACCCACUAUCUUUAGUCGGAUAGUAUCCUUACGUGAAUACAUAGCGUGAGGAAGGCAGACCCAGGGAACUGAAACAUCUAAGUACCUGGAGGAAGAGAAAGAAAAAUCGAUUUCCUGAGUAGCGGCGAGCGAAACGGAAAGAGCCCAAACCAAGAAGCUUGCUUCUUGGGGUUGUAGGACACUCUAUACGGAGUUACAAAAGAAAGUUAUAAAUGAAGCGGUCUGGAAAGGCCCGCCAAAGACGGUAACAGCCCGGUAGUUGAAAUGGCUUUCCCUCCAGAGUGGAUCCUGAGUACGGCGGAACACGUGAAAUUCCGUCGGAAUCCGGGAGGACCAUCUCCCAAGGCUAAAUACUCCCUAGUGACCGAUAGUGAACCAGUACCGUGAGGGAAAGGUGAAAAGCACCCCGGAAGGGGAGUGAAACAGUUCCUGAAACCGUGUGCCUACAAGUAGUUAGAGCCCGUUAAUGGGUGAUAGCGUGCCUUUUGUAGAAUGAACCGGCGAGUUACGAUUUGUUGCAAGGUUAAGCGGAAAAAGCGGAGCCGUAGCGAAAGCGAGUCUGAAUAGGGCGCAUAAGUAACAGGUCGUAGACCCGAAACCAGGUGAUCUACCCAUGUCCAGGAUGAAGGUAAGGUAAUACUUACUGGAGGUCCGA
rnacentral:rRNA from 1 species